CCUACGGGUGGCAGCAGUAGGGAAUUUUUCACAAUGGGCGAAAGCCUGAUGGAGCAACGCCGCGUGCAGGAUGAAGGCCUUCGGGUUGUAAACUGCUUUUAUAAGCGAGAAAUAUGAUGGUAACUUAUGAAUAAGGAUCGGCUAACUACGUGCCAGCAGCCGCGGUCAUACGUAGGAUCCGAGCAUUAUCCGGAGUGACUGGGUGUAAAGAGUUGCGUAGGUGGCAUAAUAAGUAGCUAGUGAAAUCUGGUGGCUCAACCAUUCAGACUAUUAGCUAAACUGUUAAGCUCGAGACCGUUAGGGGUAACUGGAAGUUCUAGUGUAGGAGUGAAAUCCGUAGAUAUUAGAAGGAACACCAAUAGCGUAGGCAGGUUGCUGGGACGGUUCUGACACUAAGGCACGAAAGCGUAGGGAGCAAACGGGAUUAGAUACCCCAGUAGUC
rnacentral:rRNA from 1 species